rnacentral:rRNA from 1 species
GCCGACGCCCCGCUCAAGAAACCUACAAAGGUAAUUGGCCGGGGGCCCGCACAAGCGGAGGAGCAUGUGGUUUAAUUCGAUGAUACGCGAGGAACCUUACCUGGGCUCGAAACGUAAGAUGACUGUAGGUGAAAGCUUACAUCUCUUCGGAGCAUUUUACGAGGUGCUGCAUGGUUGUCGUCAGCUCGUGCCGUGAGGUGUCGGGUUAAGUCCCAUAACGAGCGCAACCCCUACCUUUAGUUGCCAUCAGGUAAUGCUGGGGACUCUAAAGGAACUGCCUACGCAAGUAGUGAGGAAGGCGGGGAUGACGUCAAGUCAUCAUGGCCCUUACGGCCUGGGCUACACACGUGCUACAAUGGUCGGUACAAAGGGUUGCCAAGCCGCGAGGUGGAGCUAAUCCCAUAAAACCGAUCGUAGUCCGGAUCGCAGUCUGCAACUCGACUGCGUGAAGUCGGAAUCGCUAGUAAUCGUGAAUCAGAAUGUCACGGUGAAUACGUUCCCGGGCCUU